UUCCAUUAUAGAACAGAACUUUACAUUAUUUUUUUAAAAAACAUUCUGUAGUUAUAGUCUUGUGCGAUGGUUUGAAUAUUUGUCCCUUCCAAAACACAUGCUGAAACUUAAUCCCCAAUGUGGCAGUAUGGAAAAGCGGGGUGUUUAAGAGACUCGGAGUUCAUGAAAAAAUUAGUCUAUUCAUUAAUUUAAGUAUUAAUGGAUUAAUGAAAUAAUGGAUUAAUGAGUUAUUAUGGGAGUGGGACUGGUGGCUUUAUAAGAAGAGAAAGAGAGACCUGAGAUAGCACACUCAGCCUCCUCACCAUGUGAUACCUUGCACCACCUUGGAACUGCAGAGUCUCCACCAUCAAGAAGGCCCUACAAGAAGUGACCUCUCAACCUUUGACUUCUCAGCCUCCAUAACUCUCAACAAUUUCCUUUAUGUAAUUAAAGAAAAUCUUUUAGUCUGAAAGAAAGUGGCACCAGAGAGUAACCACCAGAGAAAUCCACCAGGGAAAUGAGAAGUGAAUGUUGAUUUCUCAAUAACCUAUAACUAGAGAUUGCAUUUUGAUGAGGACCUGGAUGAUGGCUGUAUAAAUCCAUAUUCAUGCUGCUAUAAAGAACUACCUGAGACUGGAUAAUUUAUGAAGAAAAGAGGUUUAAUUG